rnacentral:lncRNA from 1 species
CCGCAGUUGGAAUCCUUUUGUUCAAAGUAAUCUGGUUGGAUUAGGGCAAGCCGACGACAAAGGGGAUGGUAGAAUUGUUGUUGUAAGUAAAAGAAUAUUGUGGUACAAAUGUACAAAAUUUGGCCCCUUUCCCAUUAUUGCCAACAAGCAGCACUGGAUAACUUCGAAGAUUAAGUUUUGGAAGGGUAGGAAGCUGCUUGGAACCUUCCCUUGUCAAAGCUAGUUGUCAUUGUCAAUGCCCUAUGUCUAUGUGUGAGCUUAUGUAUUACAUACCUUAGAAAAUGAUGCAAAAUCUUUUUCUUUUCUGUUUUUCUUAAUACUGAUAUUUAACGAUGAGGAUCAUUUAAAUCAAGAAUUCGUGGAAGACGAUAAGGUAAAAGAAAGGGAUAGAAAAUUGUCAAAUUGCAAGUACGAUAAGGAGAUGCAAGUUGGUUUUAAGCUACAGUGGGCCGCCAAACCAAGCAAGCACAGAAGUUAUGACUGACGGUGACCCCAUCCAACGCCGACUCAUAUUUGUUUUGGAGGCCUACUUAACUGAGGCAUAUUGCCAAAUAUUAGGCCUACUAAGCAGAUGUUGGUGUGAUAAGCAAGUUCAGCCCACGAUCCGAAACUGGCCUUCCAAAUACCAUUUUGGGUCUAAACAGAUCAUCUUGGACUUGCAUAUUUUUAUCAAUUUUCUCCCUUCAUUGGACGUGAGAAAGGUGGCUGUUUUGGGUUUAAGCUCUCUUUUUUCUUUCUUUCUUUUUUUUUUUUUCAGUAUUCAUGUGGUUAAAGUGACAUACAUUUUAUAAAUCUAGUUGUUCUCUUUUUCUUUUUCAAACUAAAUCUGUGUAUGUAAUAAUUUUAUUUUAAAAACAAUAAUUCAAUCAUUA